rnacentral:rRNA from 1 species
UACGUAGGGUGCGAGCGUUAAUCGGAAUUACUGGGCGUAAAGCGUGCGCAGGCGGUUCGUUGUGUCGGUGGUGAAAUCCCCGGGCUUAACCUGGGAAUGGCCAUGGAAACUGGCGAACUGGAGUGUGGCAGAGGGGGGUGGAAUUCCGCGUGUAGCAGUGAAAUGCGUAGAGAUGCAGAGGAACACCGAUGGCGAAGGCAGCCCCCUGGGCUAACACUGACGCUCAGGCACGAAAGCGUGGGGAGCAAACAGG